rnacentral:tRNA from 1 species
GGGCCAGUAGCUCAUCUGGUAGAGCGCAGCAUUCGCAUUGCUGAGGUAAGGGGUUCGAUUCCCCUCUGGUCCA